AGUACAUUUAGACAAGUGUCUUGCUUCAUCAUACAGUUGGUCUGUGUAAAUUCCUAUGGUUCUAACUAUUACUCCCAUUUCAAAAAUGUCAUUUUUUGAGAAUUACACAGUAUGUACACCAUUUUAAGUGCCUGUUAAUAUUAAUAUUCCCACAAGGGAAGGGGGACAUCAUUUCUUGGAUAACAGCUUGGUAAAUUCUUGAAAAACUGAUUAUAUGGUAUCCAUUAUCCCAACAUCUUGUAUUAGUUAAUACCCCUCCCCUCCUGUGAAGGCAGAACAGGGCUUCAUUUUGAGUCAUGAUUAUGGAGUUUUUCUUCUGCAUGGGCAUGCAAAAAUAUCAAAAGCAACUAAAGGAGCUGAAAGAAUACGAAAAGCCUGCUAUAGCAAGAUUUAGCUGAGAACAUCUAAAAAUUGAUUUGAUUUGUGUUUCAGAGGAAAAACUUUAUCCCUGGUCAGCUUGAAGUAUUGCUCUGUAAACUGAUCCAUCCUGCUGAUUUUUCAAAGUCUGCAGAAGCCUGAGUGGCCUGUUGCACAGUCUACCCAAGGGACAUGGACUUGGUCAUCCAUGGCACAGAAGAGAUCCGACCUCAAAUCGAGAUAAAGGCAUAUUCUCUAAGAAGACAUUUGAGGUUCAAACACCUUAAUGUUGAAUUUCAGGCAACUUCUCAGCUCAAUGAGGAAGAAACAUCAGGGCAGUGUGCUGCUUUAAGGGCAUUUGAAUACACAAGAUACCAUGAUUUUUCCUGA
rnacentral:lncRNA from 1 species